rnacentral:lncRNA from 9 species
CCUCUCGCAUAUAGGAUUCUGUUUGCUUUUGACAUAACCGUCUCACGGUGUACCUGUCUCUUUGCACAGCUUGGUUUUCUUCGCUCAAGGAUCUGCUUGGGGAUCAUAGGGACCGACCCGGUUCCUUAGAGGGACACCUUAGUAGCCUGUAACCCGCACCCACCGGAGUUUAGUUAACCUCCUCGCUGCUGUCCUGAAAGUCCUGGGUCCUUAGCCGUGGGGCUGGCUUGUGGAGGCAGGUGGCUCCUCAGCUCCUGUGUCGCUUGGCUCCAUUUCGCCUAACUGAGAACUGCCUCUUGUUCACCUGGGCAGCUUCAGAGGACCUGGCGGUGCGCUCUGCGGCUCGGGUUGGCUUGCUCACAUCAGUGUCCAGAUUCUUUCCCGCACUUUCGAGGGGCCCUGAGAUUACAGAAGGUACGUGCGACCACAAAUCCAGGGCUUGAAUAUUUGCUCUCACCUUAAGUGAGUUUCCCGACUUCGGCAAAGCUCAGUUUUCUCCUUGAAAAUGGGGCAAAUUCUGGAUCUCUCCUAGCGUCAUUGAGAGGAUUAGAAAUAAUCCCAUAAGCCCCCCAGCCCUGUAUCUAAUACAUAACAGACACUCAGCAGACAGGAGCUGCUAGAAUUCUUCCUCUUCUUCUUUUUUUUUUUUUUUUCCCAGAAACUUCUAAAGGGCACUUGGCCUGGGGUGGGCAAAUCCGAGUUGGCAGUCAUCCACAAAACAAAAGGCUCCUGG